CGCUGCCUGAGGCGCAGGCGCGUGGACGCAGCCCGCCGGGGCCUCGCAUCGCUGUGGGCUUCCUCUGACGACCCAGCAGAGGCCUUUCCGCCUGGCGGUGCUCGGCGCCUCUGGCCUCACCGGCCAGUUCAUGACAGAGCAGGUGUCCCAGAGCGGACCUCCCACCUGCCGUGGGCCGCGCGGGCCGCUCCCCGGAGAAGCUGCGGAGAGUGCCGGAGAGGCUGCUGUGAAGCCGGGAAGACCAACACUGUCAUCUGAAAUUGGAAUAAUAAUUUCUGAUAUCACUAAUCCAGCCUCACUUGAUGAAAUGGCUACACCGGCAACAGUUGUCCUCAAUUCUGUAGGACCCAGGCCACAGCUUUGGCACCUGCAUCCCUGUGCAGCUCUGGAGAGAGAAGCCAGAAGCCAUCGGCAUGAUGCAGCUGGAGUCAGGACAGCAGGUACAUUGACUGUUAAGGAAAGUUUCCUGACCUUACAUUCAGGACCUGAGGUUAGUUUUGCAGUUGCCGUAAAUCUUCAUUUGUUAUACUGUUGUGUGUCAACAAGUAUAGUUCAGAACUUGAGGUGCACUUGAACUUCCCUAAGGAAACCACAUGAUAUGAGAUGCUGAGAAAAAUUAAAUUGAUGUAUCUCCAGUGUACAACUUUCAUUUGAAGAUUGAAUAAAGAGGACUUAGAUCUUGUUUCCAGUGUUGAAUCAUGGAAUUCUAAAGAGCCAGACACUUCUCCACAGCAUUUCCUCGCCUCACCAAUGACUUGGGCAGGAGGAGAUCAGGGCUCAGUUCAGGAUAUGUGGUGAUUCUCCUGGAGAUUUCACUGUUUUUUCCAUCAAGGCCCUCUUGAUGCACAAGCACUGGCUAUAAGACUUCAUAGUGCUGCUUGGCUCAUUAGACUCUGUUGCAGAGGGCAGCCUUGAUGAGCAGGAUAAAGCAACAGCUAAGCCAAAGACCCUGCCAGGUCCUUUGAAUUCUUUUUUCCGGAGUUUGUUUCUUGGUGGGAAGAGGAGGAGUUUAACAUGGAUGGAAGAGUGAACAAUGACUUCAGGUUUUCUCUUGUGGAUGACUGGGUGAGUAAUCAUGCCAUGGGUAAAACAGCAGAUCCUGGGAGUAGAAUUGGUUUUGUUGGGGAAUAUAAUUAAUUCAUUUGAGGUUGUGUUAGAUGUGAUUUACUUAUAGAACAGUCUGAAUGUUUAUUUGGAAAUUUAAUAUUCAGAAAUGAAUUAAGGACAAAAGACAUAGAUUUGUAAGUCACAUACAUAUGUGUAAUAAUUAAGUGAAGAUUCUUGAUGAAAUUAUCCAGCCCUCUUCCCUAAAAUGAGAUCUUUUAAAAAAGAGGGCUAAAGAUGGAGUCCUGAGAUGAGCAAUGUACCAUAAAAGAUGGAGAAGUAUCCAUCAGAGUGGUGGGGAGAGGAAGGCGUUGUAUGGGAGAAAGUUCCCAGGGAAAGGGCUGUGUCAGAUGUCUCACCGGGUGAAAAAAUUACAACAGUUGAAGAAAUGUAAAGGCAGGAUUUGGCCACUAGGAAAUUACUUUUUUGUUACAGCAGCUUUUACACAGGAUAUUGGAACACAUAUUGGAUGACAAAGUUGGAGGAUUGAAUUUCAGUGGAAGAAACACAGAAGAUGAGAUGCUUGGUGGCAUCAGGAGGCAAAGAGAGAGAGAAAGAGAGGCAGAGGAAAGAAAGAAUCCUUGCAUAAUUAUGUCAGUUUUAGAAAUUUAAGAGUAGUUUUAUCCAGUGCAGAGAUUGAUUACGGACGGUAGGAAGAGACAGUAACUUGUGGAGUGAGAUUUUACAAUGACCACAUCAGGACACAUCUCCGCCUGCUGACAGGGGUUACUGAGCCCGCUGUGAUUUCAUGCUCAUGGGCUGUGCCACGUAAUACCAAGGUUUAUAUUUCACCCUGUCUUUAUCACAUCGUACUGUCCCACAGCCUUGUUCACCAUUUCUGGUAGAUUAAGGGGUGACAUUAGUGUUUUAUAUUUUCGUGUAUUUGUGUGGCCAUGCUAGAGAUUACAUUUAUUUCAACAGGUGUUUCUUAUGGACAGAGCAGCAGUGACACUGAAGCUCUACAUCAGACGUAUUGUCAUGUAGCCCUUUCUUGGGAAGAUGCAAAUGAACAAGGAUCUGAGAGUGAUGCAGGGGGACAUACCGAGAGCUCGGUGAAAGAGCAUCCUCAAGAAGAUAAAGAAGAGGUGGUAUAUUUAUACAAUGGAAUACUACUCAGCCAUAAAAACCAACAACAUAACGCCAUUUGCAGCAACAUGGAUGCUCCUGGAGAAUGUCAUUCUAAGUGAAGUAAGCCAGAAAGAGAAAGAAAAAUACCAUAUGAGAUCGCUCAUAUGUGGAAUCUAAAAAACAAAAACAAAAACAAACAAACAAAAACAAAGCAUAAAUAAAGGACAGAAAUAGACUCACAGACAGAUAAUACAGACUUGUGGUUACCAGGUGGGUGGAGGGUGGGAAGGGAUAGACUGGGAUUUCAAAAUUGUAGAAUAGACUACACUGUAUAGCACAGGGAAAUAUACACAA